AUUGAACGCUGGCGGCAGGCCUAACACAUGCAAGUCGAGCGGAGCGGCGGACGGGUGAGUAAUGCAUAGGAAUCUGCCCGGUAGUGGGGGAUAACGUCCGGAAACGGGCGCUAAUACCGCAUACUAUCAGAUGAGCCUAGGUCGGAUUAGCUAGUUGGUGGGGUAAAGGCCUACCAAGGCGACGAUCCGUAACUGGUCUGAGAGGAUGAUCAGUCACACUGGAACUGAGACACGGGCCAGACUCCUACGGGAGGCAGCAUGGGGGAAUAUUGGACAAUGGGCGUAAGCCUGAUCCAGCCAUGCCGCGUGUGUGAAUAAGGUCUUCGGAUUGGAAAGCACUUUUUGUUGGGAGGCGUUUCCAACAGAAUUAGCACCGGCUAACUUCGUGCCAGCAGCCGCGGUAAUUC
rnacentral:rRNA from 1 species